rnacentral:rRNA from 1 species
CCUACGGGUGGCUGCAGUCGAGAAUUUUUGGCAAUGGGCGAAAGCCUGACCAAGCGAUGCCGCGUGCGGGAUGAAGGCCUUCGGGUUGUAAACCGCUGUCAGUGGGGAGGAAAGCUUUGCGAAGAGCAAGGCUUGACCUAUCCGCAGAGGAAGUGUGGGCUAAGUUCGUGCCAGCAGCCGCGGUAAGACGAACCACACAAACGUUAUUCGGGAUUACUGGGCUGCGUAGGUGCCGCAGCUGCGCAGUAAGGAAAUACCUCGGCUCAACCGAGGAACUGCGCCCAAAACUACUGUGCUUGAGGAAGAUAGAGGUAAGCGGAACUUACGGUGGAGCGGUGAAAUGCGUUGAUAUCGUGAGGAACACCUGUGGCGAAAGCGGCUUACUGGGUCUUUUCUGACGCUGAUGCACGAAAGCUAGGGGAGCAAACGGGAUUAGAUACCCGAGUAGUC